rnacentral:lncRNA from 1 species
GUUGAUGGGUCCAUAACCGGAUGGAGAGAGAGCGUGCGAACAUUUGUCCUCUCAAGUCACCUUCACCGGAGAGGCAUGCAGUCCUUUUGGAGGGUGGGUUGGAGCUUUCGGUCAAGGGAUAGCGACUUGGCGAGGGAAAGAAAUAAUGGCGAUGCGGCUUUCGCGGAGAGGCAGCGGCAGCCAAGGUAGAUGCGAUGGUAUCUUCAGGAGGAAGCGUAUCAUCAUCCUCCCUUUUACUUUUGACUCCGUUUACUUUUUACGACUGUCGACCACUUGCUUCCAUUUCUUUAUAGACUACACCGCAGAUGCCAACACUCGCGUCAGAUGCCUCUUUAAGUUCCGCUCCACAACAACUGUUUCUCUGCAUCGACGACGAAAGGUCAACUUAUCCAAAUAAAUGCGAAUAUUACAGGAAAGUUGUGCAUCUCUCCUCCUACAAAAGCCACAUGAACUGAACAUGUUCAUCAACAAAAAGGAAGACGCUUUCCGACCUUCUUUUUUCCUUUCAAGGGUUUGAUUCGUUAGAUCAAUUGGGUGAUUUGAGAAAUCCCGGUUCAUCUAGUUCGGGUUACGCAUGCCAUUGGCUAUUUAGAUCCGUGUCUAACGAAGCCUGGAGACAGUAAAAGAUUAUGGUAUCUAUAUAGUGCCUCUCUCUUCCGUCCUCUUUCUCCCUCAUCUUUUUAUGUGAGAGAAAUUUCCACCAACCAAUAAUGGAAGACGGAGAAGAUGAAGCGCAGCGUCGUGGGAUGAUGAGUUGGAGCGCAUCAGAAGCGGCCUCAUCCGCAGGUGAAGAAGGUUUAUGACGAGAGGCAAGCACGAGGCUUUGCCGUGCUAAGAGUCCAUCAUUGUCCCACUAAUGGCAGCUCGAUCGAUCCUACACCACAGAAUUAAUCUCCGAAGACGAACCACUUUUCCUUGUGUGUCAGU